rnacentral:misc_RNA from 1 species
UGGAGUUUUUUAGCUCAAGUUAUGCUAUUUUUACUAAGACUGAUCAGAUUGGUCAAAAUCCAAAAAUUCUGGGCACAUUAGGUUCUUGCAGAUUUAGAGAGCUAAUUUUGGUUAGCAAUUUAACUAGGUUAUGAUCAGAAUUUGUGUUUUUAUUCCUCAUAAAAAUUGUUCUACUAUGUAUAAGCUUUCCAAUGGUAUAAAAAUCAGGUCAUUUGGACA